rnacentral:rRNA from 1 species
UGAACGCUAGCGACAGGCCUAACACAUGCAAGUCGAGGGGCGAGCACAAGGAGCAAUCUGAGGUGGCGACCGGCGCACGGGUGAGUAACACGUAUGCAACCUGCCUGUAAGCGGGGAAUAACCCGUUGAAAGACGGACUAAUACCGCAUAAUACUAAAUUACUGCAUGGUAAUUUAUUUAAACAUUUAUGGCUUACAGAUGGGCAUGCGCAUGAUUAGCUAGUUGGAGAGGUAACGGCUCCCCAAGGCAACGAUCAUUAGGGGUUCUGAGAGGAAGGUCCCCCACACUGGUACUGAGACACGGACCAGACUCCUACGGGAGGCAGCAGUGAGGAAUAUUGGUCAAUGGACGAGAGUCUGAACCAGCCAAGUCGCGUGCAGGAAGAAUGUUCCCUAUGGAUUGUAAACUGCUUUUGCAGGGGAAUAAAGUGCAUCACGUGUGAUGUUUUGUAUGUACUCUGCGAAUAAGGAUCGGCUAACUCCGUGCCAGCCGCAGC